rnacentral:lncRNA from 1 species
GCAUUUGGUUUAUGUAUUGGCCAUUACUACUUAAUUGUUUGAAGUUUAGACAAUGGUUGUUCCAUGGUUGUUGUGUUAAAUGAUUAUGGUUAUUGUUUUAUUUUGUUUUGUUUAUUAAUCUGUGUAUGUGUGUGUGUGUGUGUGUGUGUGUGUGUGUGUGUGUGUGUGUGUGUGUGUCUAAGACUCAUAGAAACCUUGAUAGAGAAUGAUGUGUUGUGAUCCUGGAUUCAUGUAGGUUUUACUCACAUGCAAAGUCUUCGAAAAAUUAUU